UCCCUGCUGGACUAGUGGCUAACAUGUGGUGUUUUUAUCACCAUGGCCCGGGUUCGAUUCCUGGUUAGGGUU